rnacentral:lncRNA from 1 species
UGUGGGCCUUUCUUCCGUAUUUCCUGAUAACCCCCUGUAGAAAUAGACGAACACCAAAACUUGUGGAAUUCUGUCAGAUAAAAUCCUAAGUCUAGGUGUUGGUUCAAUUUCGAUCCUUUUCUAUGAUCAGUUGAUUGUUAAUUGUGAGCAUUAAGGACCGUCAACAAGCUCCCCCAAGCUUAACCUUUGCUCGUCCCUGAGCAAAGAUGAACUCAAGAGUUUCUGCAGUGGUUUCAUAACUUAAAGAUACACAUGCGUUUAAACAAGAUCUCAUCUCUGGUUAGAGUAAACUGUUAAGAUUUAAACUUACUCAUUUUACCUUCCACCAUGGGGCUUGCAACCGUCACUUGUGUCUUGAGCAGUUAAAAGAUAGAACGGUCUAGUCAAGCGCCAUGUCUCUUGUUCUUCGAUUAACUAUAGCUCUGGAGUUUUUGCAGAUUUUCAAAUAAAACUCAGAGAUUCCUUGUAUGACUCUCUCUAGUGUCUAUUUUGUGGUAUUUCAGGAUCCUUACCAAGGCAGUGAUGGUAUAUGCCUUCUCUCAAAGUAUGUGGUAUUUGUGGUAUAAGACAUAGUGGCAUUGCCUUUUCUCUCACCCUACUCUAAUAAGGUUUUGAUAUCUGGAGCUCAUAGGUGGGAGAUAGCUAAUACAUACUUACAAGACAUUUAUUGCAUAGUCAAACCAUGGAUCCAGAAGAACAAGUCAAUAAGUCAAAUCAAGAUGUGCAUGUGUGGCGAAUGAAUGAUGCAUGGUAAUGAUGGUGAUAACAAUGGUGAAAGUCUAAUUCUACUUAUGCUCUUUUGAGGGGAUACAUACCUUUCUUGCUCUUUUGAAACUUUUUGAGGAGAAUGAGAUGCUCUAUAUUUUCUUUUUUCUUUUCUCUCAGGUGGGUAUCUUGUACCCCUAAUUCUACUGUCGGACAUUUGUCCAUUUUUACCUCUCGUCUCACUUUUUUUUCUUUUCUUUCGAGGUUCCGGGCACUUGCCCCUUUUUAUUUCCUCGUAUUUAUUUUUUUUCCCUCUUUUUUUUUAUUAGAGCACUCAUCUCAUGAGAUAAUAUAGCAAGUGGUAGUAACAAGAUAACUUGAGCAUUUAUUUCACAGGGAAAAACAUAAAUAGGAGAAUAUUUUUGGCUAUUCUCUCCCGGAUUAGGAGUAGAAUAUUUUUGGGUGGUUCUGGAGAUGGAAAUGGAUGGAUAUAUGUGGAUGGUACUUCUGGAGUAGAAGUAGCACGUGUGAGUGAACGUGCAAGUGAAUCUUGAUUUAACCACAUGACAAACUCCUAAGGGUCUACACAGCUUGACCACACUCAAUGCUCAUAAGCAGUAAAAAGUAAAUGUGUGGUUCAUAGUCUAACAAGCAUGUAUAUAUGGCUGUGGUAGGAAUUUAAACUCUCAUCAUACAGGAACUCAUCAUGCAACAUUUUAAAGAUUUUCAAAGAUAAAAUUCUCUAGAAUUCUAGCAUCUCUAGGAACAGAUAAACAGCAGCUCAACCUUCCCAUAUCAUAUCCGUUAACGACUUAGACUUCAGAUCAAGUACUCUCCCCACAAGUUCAGGUUUAGAGCAAAUCUUAAUUAAUACCAGUCAUGCCUAAACUAGAGAGAGAUUUCAAUUUUGAGAACUAGCCAUGGCAGAGCAACUAUUCAUCAUUUCCAUGUGAGAGCUUAUCAUGAGGAUUCAUGGCAAACUUUAUUUAUUUAUUUAUUUAGCAAACUAAGCAAAGAUAUAUAUAAGCACAAAAUCUUUAUUUGGGUUUUUAUGAUUAUGCAUCUUUUUAUUAUUAGAGUAGAGUAUAAACGUGAGUAGAAUACUUAGCUGGAUAAAUGGGGGUGCUCUCCCCCAAGCUGGAUUUUGACGUAAUUCCUUUUGAUGUAGCUAGCCAGUGGUGGAGGUGUAUUUGAAUGUCGGCAGCACCCUGAUGACGAUUAGGAUGUCCUUCGUCUACUAGUCUUCUUUGAUCCUUGAAUUCUGUGGAGCUCAAAUAAACAACAAAGCUUUGUAGAACUAGUUAAGUGUUAGCAUAUAUAUCUAGCCUUUAUCAUGUUGAGCCUCCUCAAUAAAUGUUACUCAUUAGUAGGAUCAUAAUUUUAUUUUUAUAAUUUUAUUUUUAUAGGACAUGAAUAUACUUAUUUCAUUUUUACGCAACCACAGUGGAUGUACUUAUGGGUUUUAUGCCAUGAUCAUACUCACAUGGGGCUUACUAUUUUUAACAUUUUUAUUUUCUUUUCAAGAUGAUAUGAACCUGCUUAACUAAGCAAACUAUUUUAAAUAGUUGAAAGGAAAAAGAUAACUACCAAGUUUACCUCUUGGCAAGGCGUUCGGUGUUUUUAAGUCCUCCGAAUGGGACUCUCCAUUUUCUCAGUCAUCCUGGGAUUCGCUGGAUGCGUAGUCGGUGGUUCCGGUGGAGCCUCCUCUUCGUGUAUAACAAUCUUCUCUCUACACACCUGACUCGGUGCUACGGUCUCCUUAGGACAGUUCUGUUCAAGUUGUAUGUCUUCAGAUAUUACCACUUCUUCUUCGUAGUCUGCCCAUCCGUCCUUUAUGAUUUUCCUCCUCUGGUUACGGUUGCGUCGUCUUCUUCUUGUCCUGACCUGCUUAGAGUCUUCAACUAUAUAGUUAGAGUCAGUAAAACAGUGGCGUAACUUCUCUGAGGGGAAGUUCAUGUGGACUUCUCCGGUUCCAAUGUAGAUGAUUAUUUUAACAGUGCUGAGGAACUGUCUCCCAAGGAUGAUGGGUGGAUCGUGCUCGUCUUUUCCCAUGUCAAUAACCAUUCAGAAUGUCUGAUCUGCCAUCUGAAGUUGAAUGUAUGUCGGUUUAGGGGCAUGGUUCUGAAUAGGAGCUGAUAGGUGACUAGCGGCCAUUAUGUUGAUGCCUGACCCGGUGUCGCAAAGCGUCUUCUAGAAGUUGUAUCCAUUAAUGGAGCACUGGAUGCUUGGCAUGCCUGGUCGUCCUUUUUGGUCAGGAACGGUGACUUAAAUAGAUGAUCUUGACCUCCUUGAACUGCAGUGACCAUCUUAGCUGACUCGGUCCACACUUGCUUGUUCCUGUUCCUCCUGUUGGUCCUCUUCCUUGGUUCAUGUCGGGAAUGCUCUGAGAUUUGUGUAGUCUUGUUCUUGAAGGAAAACGUCUCCUUCCUCCCCUUGAUGUAGAAACUGAUCUUGGCAGCACUAGCGUAGAUGACAGCUCCUGAGGUGUUCAGGAAUGGCCUCCCUAGGAUGGAUGCCCUCUCAUCAGUACCAGUCUCUAUCACCACGAAGUCUGCUGGGGCGUACAAGGUACCAACUCAGACGAAGAGGUUGUUCAAUAUUCUCUUUGGGAAACUUAGCGUACGAUCUGCAAGCUGCAAACACAUGGUUGUUUCUAGGAAAGGAUGUGUAAAGAAUUUUUCAUAGAGUACCCUGAGCAUAAUGUUGACGCUGGAGCCAAAGUUGCAGAGUGCUUCUAGGAAGUCCACCAUGCCGAUGGAGAUCGGGAUGACGGGACGUCCUGGAUUGUAUCUCUUGACCAGCAGAAGGUCAGUAAUUACUUCCACAACGGGGUUACUCCAGUAGUUACGUCCUCAAGCAUCUCAGGGCAGUGAUUGCCUGAGUGUCCAGUAUCUCCAGUGUGUUUGUGCUCGUAGAUCUAGGUUCUUCACUUGGUGGAGUCUGGGAGUUGUAAAAGUCCGUCAUAUUUUGCUUGAAGUGUACCUGCUCAUAGAGACAAGGCAGAGAUCAAGUGCAUGGGCCCUGUUGGUGGAAAACACCAACAGAACCAAAAGUGUAUUUGUUCUCUCUAACCUUAAGAAUAGUGAGCAAGACAAAGUUGAUGGAUAAUAAGAUCAUGAGUGUAGCAUUUAAAACAUUUGUCAGAUCAGAUCACUCAAUCUAAUGGAAAGAUAAUCUAUCUAUAUUUAUGUUUUUUUAUCUUCCAAAGGUUGAGUGUGCAACAUUAUAGCUCAUAUUAGGAGUAUAGGAUCACCAAAAGUGGAAGGACUAAACAUGUGGAAUCGAUCGGGUUGGUUAAUCUAGAGUUGUAAACCAUACAUGUUUGUCUCUUUUAUUCAUGUGAACGCCAGAACCAAGGAGAAGCUUAUAGAAGUGAUAGUCAAGUACCUUAAGAUGUUACCUUACUUGAAGAGUGAUGGUACAGUAUCACCUUAUGGAAGCUUUCCUUUCUUAGCGGUUGUGCAUCGUUUUUGUGGCACCCUCCAUGGAUCAUCUCUUAUGCCUUCCUUGUGUAAAUUGUUAAACUUCAUGUGUCUCUCUCUUUGUCUCUAAUGUGAGUUUAUCUCAGGACUUCCCAGGUCGAUAUUGAAAGUUUUCCUGCAGGGGUUAGUCCAACAAAAUAUCCAAUAUCUACUAUAGCAUACUAUCGGCUCAAAAAUCAAUCUAGACACCAUGUCUACUUUGAUUUAGGAGGGCAUUUUAACCUAAGCACCAUGCUUAAUUUAAAACCCCUUGGAAGUAAGAUCAUCAUUCCUAACUAAGCACCAAGCUUAAUUAAGAGAUAAAUGAAACUACUCCAAACCUAGACAUAUACUAAAGCAAAUAAAGGUAGCAUGAGAGCAUUUAUAGAGUUCUACUCAAGUGGAGAUGAAGUAGUGUGAUUAGUAUUUAACAAAUUGAGCAUGUCUCAAAGGUAGGGACAACCAACAUAACAACAUGGCAAAGGAUGUUCUUAUGUAAGUACUCCCCCAAGCUUGAAUUUUUCAAAAUUCAAGUUUGGAUGAAUUUAAUUCAAUGUUGUAUGAUAGUUGGUUGGACAUACCUUGUGCUUGGCAUUCAUCCGAUCUUCUUGCUCCAAUCCUGAAAAGGUUAGUGACAAGAAUACCCGAAGGAAUUUUCUACAAUUAUCCUUAUAUGCUCAAUACACAAGGUAAUGUUGCAAAUAAUUAAAAGCUCAUGUUACGAUCUGAUCAGUGCUUGUUUUAGGACACUAAGCUUGUCCUUGGGAAACCCUCAAUUUAUGUCGGCGAAGUGGUUUCCCCUCCAACGCUGACCUAUAUUAAGAUCAACUCAACGAGAUCUGCAAAAUUUAUUAUAGACAUAUGCAUCGACAACCGCCCUUUUAAAGUUUUCAUAAAUAGAAAGGAAGUGGGGGUUGGAGAUCUCGAAUGUGGUGAUGUUGGAGAGACCAAUGGAUUGUGAAGAUGUUGCAUAUGAGCAUGGAGUAAAUGAAGUGGCUAUGAAAUAAAUUCCAUGCUCAUUAAUGCUUAGAGUGAAAUCCAUGUGGUAUGGUGAAAAUGGUAAGGUGAGUGUGGUAAAAAAAAGAAAAGAAAAAGGAUACACGGACGACUUGGUUCGAAACUAGCAUAGCUACUGUUCCCCGGCAACGGCGCUAGAAAGCUUGUUGGGUAUUUUAAACGCAAACAGAAAAAUCCGCAAGCGCACGGAUACCGAUGUAGCUUUCACCCGGGAGUAUUCUAGAGUAUCGAUUUUCCACAGAGAACGUGAGUGCACUAAUUAAGAUCCAAGAUCGCCCAAGGAUAACUAUAUAAUUAUUUUUGGUGGGAAGAGAGGAAGUUUCCUGAGAGUUCUCUAGUUGAUCUAAGAAUCAAAAAUUAGUUCAAGAUUAUCUAUUUCGGGACAUCAGAACACUAACCACAGAAAGAGACGAGAAGGGGGCUAGGAAGGUCUGACUACGGUCCUACAAACACCGAUCCGAACAAGGUGGAAUACGUCGACCGUUAGGGCUGUCACUACCCUAAGGCUACCACAACAAUCCGCAGGAUUGGGUGCAAUUCUAUGUAAUUGCAAGACUAAACACCACGUCUAAUCUAUUAAUUACUACUCUAAUGUUUCAAAGAUUAGAGCACUUGAUGCAAGCAGGAAUCCAAUAAAUAACUUGAAUGUAAAUAAAAGUAAUUAGAGAACUCAGGAAUUAUGAAUUGAAGAACGUGGAGAACGAUGAAGAACGAACCAGUUGCUGCAAAAGUACAAUGUUGAGGAAGAUCCGACAGAUCCGGCUCCUCCUCCUCCGCUCUCCUCUUCUCUCUUCCUAUUUUCUAGAUUACAACUCGCACUAACUAGAACUAGAACUAGAGGAACUAGAACUAGAACUAGAUGAACUAGAACUAGAUCUAGAUGAACUAGAGGUAGAACUAGAAGAACUAGAGGGAUCCUCUCUACUUGGAUGAAGAAUUGAAACCCUAACUUUGAUUCUGUAGAAGAGGUAUGAUCUCCAGGGGCCAGGGGAUCUGGUUUUAUAGUCCCUUCAAGUGAAUCUGGGCCCUCGGAUCAAACCGACAUUGAUCGUGUGGUUUUCCUUGAAGUAUUAGGUCGGUGGAGUGUUGUCCCCGAAUUGGACUCUGUUUGGUCCAGGGGGGAGGGCGGGCGCCCAGUAAGGGAGGGCGGGCGCCCAGUGCCCGGCUCCGUUACGUCUCCCGUUCGCUCCCGUGGCUUCUGGACUCUUCUAGAUGGUAGAUAGUUGUGCGGCACGUUAAUAUCUCUAUGUAAACCCGACGUGUGGGCCUUUCUUCCGUAUUUCCUGAUAACCCCCUGCAGAAAUAGACAAACACCAAAACUUGUGGAAUUCUGUCAGAUAAAACCCUAAGUCUAGGUGUUGGUUGCAUUUCGAUCCUUUUCUAUGAUCAGUUGAUUGUUAAUUGUGAGCAUUAAGGACCGUCAACAAGCUCCCCCAAGCUUAACCUUUGCUCGUCCCUGAGCAAAGAUGAACUCAAGAGUUUCUGCAGUGGUUUCAUAACUUAAAGAUACACAUGCGUUUAAACAAGAUCUCAUCUCUGGUUAGAGUAAACUGUUAUGAUUUAAACUUACUCAUUUAAACUUCCACCAUGGGGCUUGCAACCGUCACUUGUGUCUUGAGCAGUUAAAAGGUAGAACGGUCUAGUCAAGCACCAUGUCUCUUGUUCUUCGAUUAACUAUAGCUCUGGAGUUUUUUUAGAUUUUCAAAUAAAACUCAGAGAUUCCUUGUAUGACUCUCUCUAGUCUCUAUUUUGUGGUAUUUCUAGAUCCUUACCAAGGCAGUGAUGUUAUAUGCCUUCUCUCAAAGUAUGUGGUAUUUGUGGUAUAAGACAUAGUGGCAUUGCCUUUUCUCUCACCCUACUCUAAUAAGGUUUUGAUAUCUGGAGCUCAUAGGUGGGAGACAGCUAAUACAUACUUACAAGACAUUUAUUGCAUAGUCAAACCAUGGAUCCAGAAGAACAAGUCAAUAAGUCAAAUCAAGAUGUGCAUGUGUGGCGAAUGAAUGAUGCAUGGUAAUGAUGGUGAUAACAAUGGUGAAAGUCUAAUUCUACUUAUGCUCUUUUGAGGGGAUACAUACCUUUCUUGCUCUUUUGAAACUUUUUGAGGAGAAUGAGAUGCUCUAUAUUUUCUUUUUUCUUUUCUCUCAGGUGGGUAUCUUGUACCCCUAAUUCUACUGUCGGACACUUGUCCAUUUUUACCUCUCGUCUCACUUUUUUUUCUUUUCUUUCGAGGUUCCGGGCACUUGCCCCUUUUUAUUUCCUUGUAUUUAUUUUUUUCUCUCUCUUUUUUUUUAUUAGAGCACUCAUCUCAUGAGAUAAUAUAGCAAGUGGUAGUAACAAGAUAACUUGAGCAUUUAUUUCACAGGGAAAAACAUAAAUAGGAGAAUAUUUUUGGCUAUUCUCUCCCGGAUUAGGAGUAGAAUAUUUUUGGGUGGUUCUGGAGAUGGAAAUGGAUGGAUAUAUGUGGAUGGUACUUCUGGAGUAGAAGUAGCAUGUGUGAGUGAACGUGCAAGUGAAUCUUGAUUUAACCACAUGACAAGCUCCUAAGGGUCUACACAGCUUGACCACACUCAAUGCUCAUAAGCAGUAAAAAGUAAAUGUGUGGUUCACAGUCUAACAAGCAUGUAUAUAUGGCUGUGGUAGGAAUUUAAACUCUCAUCAUACAAGAACUCAUCAUGCAACAUUUUAAAGAUUUUCAAAGAUAAAAUUCUCUAGAAUUCUAGCAUCUCUAGGAACAGAUAAACAGCAGCUCAACCUUCCCAUAUCAUAUCCGUUAACGACUUAGACUUCAGAUCAAGUACUCUCCCCACAAGUUCAGGUUUAGAGCAAAUCUUAAUUAAUACCAGUCAUGCCUAAACUAGAGAGAGAUUUCAAUUUUGAGAACUAGCCAUGGCAGAGCAACUAUUCAUCAUUUCCAUGUGAGAGCUUAUCAUGAGGGUUCAUAGCAAACUUUAUUUAUUUAUUUAUUUAGCAAACUAAGCAAAGAUAUAUAUAAGCACAAAAUCUUUAUUUGGAUUUUUAUGAUUAUGCAUCUUUUUAUUAUUAGAGUAAAGUAUAAACGUGAGUAGAAUACUUAGCUGGAUAAAUGGGGGUGCUCUCCCCCAAGCUGGAUUUUGACGU